rnacentral:rRNA from 1 species
UGAGGAAUAUUGCCCAAUGGGGGAAACCCUGAGGCAGCAACGCCGCGUGAACGAAGACGGCCUUCGGGUUGUAAAGUUCUUUUCUGGCGGACGACACAGACGGUACCCCAGGAAUAAGUUCCGGCUAACUACGUGCCAGCAGCCGCGGUAAAACGUAGGGGACAAGCGUUGUCCGGAUUUACUGGGCGUAAAGCGCACGUAGGCGGACGGGUAAGUUGGCCGUGAAAGCUCCUGGCUUAACUGGGAGAGGUCGGACAAAACUGCCAGACUUGAGGCUGAGAGAGGAGAGCGGAAUUCACGGUGUAGUGGUGGAAUGCGUAGAUAUCGGGAGGAACACCAGUGGCGAAGGCGGCUCUCUGGCUCAGAACUGACGCUGAGGUGCGAAAGCGUGGGGAGCGAACGG